rnacentral:rRNA from 1 species
UACGUAGGGGGCAAGCGUUAUCCGGAAUUACUGGGCGUAAAGGGCGCGUAGCCCGCCUUCUAAGUCGAACGUGAAAUCCCCGGGCUCAACCCGGGAACUGCGUCCGAUACUGGAAGGCUUGAAUCCGGGAGAGGGAUGCGGAAUUCCAGGUGUAGCGGUGAAAUGCGUAGAUAUCUGGAGGAACACCGGUGGCGAAGGCGGCAUCCUGGACCGGCAUUGACGCUGAGGCGCGAAAGCCAGGGGAGCAAACGGG